rnacentral:rRNA from 1 species
AACGAACGCUGGCGGCAUGCCUAACACAUGCAAGUCGAACGAGACCUUCGGGUUUAGUGGCGCACGGGUGCGUAACGCGUGGGAACCUGCCCUUAGGUUCGGAAUAACUCCCCGAAAGGGGUGCUAAUACCGGAUAAUGUCUUCGGACCAAAGAUUUAUCGCCUUUGGAUGGGCCCGCGUUGGAUUAGCUAGUUGGUAGGGUAAAGGCCUACCAAGGCGACGAUCCAUAGCUGGUCUGAGAGGAUGAUCAGCCACACUGGGACUGAGACACGGCCCAGACUCCUACGGGAGGCAGCAGUGGGGAAUAUUGGACAGUGGGCGAAAGCCUGAUCCAGCAAUGCCGCGUGAGUGAUGAAGGCCUUAGGGUUGUAAAGCUCUUUUACCCGGGAUGAUAAUGACAGUACCGGGAGAAUAAGCUCCGGCUAACUCCGUG